rnacentral:rRNA from 1 species
GAUGAACGCUGGCGGCGUGCCUAAUACAUGCAAGUCGAGCGAACAGACGAGGAGCUUGCUCCUCUGACGUUAGCGGCGGACGGGUGAGUAACACGUGGAUAACCUACCUAUAAGACUGGGAUAACUUCGGGAAACCGGAGCUAAUACCGGAUAAUAUAUUGAACCGCAUGGUUCAAUAGUGAAAGACGGUUUUGCUGUCACUUCUAGAUGGAUCCGAGCCGCAUUAGCUAGUUGGUAAGGUAACGGCUUACCAAGGCAACGAUGCGUAGCCGACCUGAGAGGGUGAUCGGCCACACUGGAACGGAGACACGGUCCAGACUCCUACGGGAGGCAGCAGUAGGGAAUCUUCCGCAAUGGGCGAAAGCCUGACGGAGCAACGCCGCGUGAGUGAUGAAGGUCUUCGGAUCGUAAAACUCUGUUAUUAGGGAAGAACAAAUGUGUAAGUAACUAUGCACGUCUUGACGGUACCUAAUCAGAAAGCCACGGCUAACUACGUG